GACGAACGCUGGCGGCGUGCCUAACACAUGCAAGUCGAACGGGGUAACUCCUUCGGGGGGUUACUUAGUGGCGAACGGGUGAGUAACGCGUGAGGAACCUGCCUCUCAGUGGGGGACAACAGUUGGAAAACGACUGCUAAUACCGCAUAAUGUAGCGAGACCGCAUGAUCUUGCUACCAAAGCUUUAUGUGCUGAGAGAUGGCCUCGCGUCUGAUUAGCUAGUUGGUGAGGUAACGGCUCACCAAGGCGACGAUCAGUAGCCGGUCUGAGAGGAUGAACGGCCACAUUGGGACUGAGAUACGGCCCAGACUCCUACGGGAGGCAGCAGGUGGGGAAUAUUGGGCAAUGGGGGAAACCCUGACCCAGCAACGCCGCGUGAAGGAAGAAGGCCCUCGGGUUGUAAACUUCUUUUACCAGGGACGAAGAACGUGACGGUACCUGGAGAAAAAGCAACGGCUAACUACGUG
rnacentral:rRNA from 1 species